ACAAGAAUAAAAGAAUACACACACACAAAUCACUGUAUACAGUAUUAUAGAUCCAUUACAGCCAAUCCUACCAAUUGGUUUUGCACAGGAUAUUAGAUAAC